rnacentral:rRNA from 1 species
AACGAACGCUGGCGGCAGGCCUAACACAUGCAAGUCGAGCGCCCCGCAAGGGGAGCGGCAGACGGGUGAGUAGCGCGUGGGAAUCUACCCAUCCCUACGGAACAACUCAGGGAAACUUGAGCUAAUACCGUAUACGCCCUUCGGGGGAAAGAUUUAUCGGGGAUGGAUGAGCCCGCGUUGGAUUAGCUAGUUGGUGAGGUAAUGGCUCACCAAGGCGACGAUCCAUAGCUGGUCUGAGAGGAUGAUCAGCCACACUGGGACUGAGACACGGCCCAGACUCCUACGGGAGGCAGCAGUGGGGAAUAUUGGACAAUGGGCGCAAGCCUGAUCCAGCCAUGCCGCGUGAGUGAUGACGGCCCUAGGGUUGUAAAGCUCUUUCAACGGUGAAGAUAAUGACGGUAACCGUAGAAGAAGCCCCGGCUAACUUCGUGCCAGCCGCCGCCGUAAAAC